GAUGAACGCUAGCGAUAGGCUUAACACAUGCAAGUCGAGGGGCAGCAUGGUCUUAGCUUGCUAAGACUGAUGGCGACCGGCGCACGGGUGCGUAACGCGUAUGCAACUUGCCUCACAGAGGGGGAUAACCCGUCGAAAGACGGACUAAUACCGCGUACACUCCAUCUUGGGCAUCCAAGGUAGAGGAAAUGAAAUUCGCUGUGAGAUAGGCAUGCGUCCCAUUAGCUAGUUGGUGAGGUAACGGCUCACCAAGGCGACGAUGGGUAGGGGAUCUGAGAGGUUGAACCCCCACACUGGUACUGAGGCACGGACCAGACUACUACGGGAGGCAGCAGUGAGGAAUAUUGGUCAAUGGGCGAGAGCCUGAACCAGCCAAGUCGCGUGAAGGAUGACUGUCUUAUGGAUUGUAAACUUCUUUUAUACGGGAAUAACAAGAGUCACGUGUGACUCCCUGCAUGUACCGUAUGAAUAAGCAUCGGCUAACUCCGUG
rnacentral:rRNA from 1 species